rnacentral:misc_RNA from 1 species
AAGUCGUAACAAGGUAACCGUAGGUGAACCUGCGGUUGGAUCAUUAACAAAAUUACAACCUUUGAAUAUGGGGAAGGGGGGAGUGUAUACCCCCUCCUUCCACCGUAUUUCAAACCCCAAACCAUUUGCCAUGCUCAAUUUGUUUUGAGCAUGUGUGAACCUAUUUAUUAACACUUUAUAAUGGGUGUUAUAAGGGAGAUUGGCGGGUUAAAACGAUAGGAGAAGGGGUAGGAUGGGGAGGAGACUCCUCACUCAUACUACCCUUACCCUUUUGGAUUGCUCAUGUGAUCACUCGCCAACUUUCUCAUUAUAACAAUGCAUUAUAAGACUAUAUAAACUCUAUGUCAAUACAUAAUCGUCAAAACCUAUAUGUUACAUUCUUUACACGAAUGAAAUAACAACUUUUGGCAACGGAUCUCUAGGCUCUU